UAUUAUGCAGUCUUCAAAAGGAAAAAAUCUGACGUAUGUUACAAGAUGAAGACAUUACGCUCAGUGAAGUCAGUCAGUCACAAAAAGGAUUGUUUUGAGACAUACCCAGUUGCCAAAACCAAAAGAAUUAGAGAAAUGGAGCCAGAGCCCUGACCGAACUGCUGCAUUUCAAUAACAUGAACCAAUAAAUCCCCUUUUUAACAUUAA